rnacentral:rRNA from 1 species
AUUGAACGCUGGCGGCAGGCCUAACACAUGCAAGUCGGGCGAACGAGGCUUCGGCCAAGUGAGCGGCGAACGGGUGAGUAACGCGUAGGAAUCUGCCUGGUAGUGGGGGACAACGUUCCGAAAGGGACGCUAAUACCGCAUACGCCCUACGGGGGAAAGCUGGGGACCUUCGGGCCUAGCGCUAGCAGAUGAGCCUGCGUCGGAUUAGCUAGUUGGUGGGGUAAAGGCCCACCAAGGCGACGAUCCGUAACUGGUCUGAGAGGAUGAGCAGUCACACCGGAACUGAGACACGGUCCGGACUCCUACGGGAGGCAGCAGUGGGGAAUAUUGGACAAUGGGGGCAACCCUGAUCCAGCCAUGCCGCGUGUGUGAAGAAGGCCUUCGGGUUGUAAAGCACUUUAGGUCGGGAGGAAGGUUCGCUGGCUAAUAUCCAGCGGAAUUGACGUUACCGACAGAAUAAGCACCGGCUAACUCCGUGCCAGCAGCCGCCGUAA